ensembl:misc_RNA Y_RNA Y RNA
GGCCAGUCCGAAUGCGAUGGUGCUUACAGCUAAUUGAUCACAACCAGUUACAGAUUUCUUUGUUCCUUCUCCACUCCUAUUCCUUCACUUGACUAGUCAUAA